rnacentral:SRP_RNA from 1 species
CCGCAAGGCUAGGGCAAUGGUGGGCUUACUAAUUGUGUCAGAUCCGGAAGGAAGCAGCACUACGUAGGUGCCGCCAUGUGCCUCAUUUAUAUGAACUUU